rnacentral:ncRNA from 2 species
UAAAUAUUGGAAAAUAAAGGUGCAAGUACUAAGAGUACAGCUUAAAAGGGAAGCAGGUAAAGUCCUGCACGGUCCCGCCACUGUAAUGGGGAGAUGUUUCAUACGAUAGCCACCGGUAAAUACUGGAUGGCCUGGAACGUUUAAUGAACCAAAGUCAGAAGACCUGCCUUUAUCUGAUGAACCAA